rnacentral:rRNA from 1 species
CGCAUCUGUGCAUGCAGCAUAUCAAUAAGCGGAGGAAAAGAAACUAACAAGGAUUCCCCUAGUAACGGCGAGUGAAGCGGGAAGAGCUCAAAUUUGAAAUCUUAAAGGGUUUCCCUUUACGAAUUGUAGUUUAAAGAAGUGUUUUCUGUUGAGGUUUUGGUAAAAGUUCUUUGGAAUAGGACAUCAUAGAGGGUGAGAAUCCCGUAUUUGACCUUUACUUUCAACUUUGUGAUACACUUUCAAAGAGUCGGAUUGUUUGGGAAUGCAGUCCAAAAUGGGUGGUAAAUUUCAUCUAAAGCUAAAUAUUGGCGAGAGACCGAUAGCGAACAAGUACCGUGAGGGAAAGAUGAAAAGAACUUUGAAAAGAGAGUUAAACAGUACGUGAAAUUGUCAAAAGGGAAGCGUUUGACACCAGUGUUGUUUUUCUGAAAAUCAAUUAAAGAACUGUUUAUGCUAAGUUGUUUAGACUUUAUCAGCUAACUGUUUAGUUUUGAGCUUUUCUUUAAUGCACUUUUCAGUUAACAAGUCGACAUCAAUUUCUUUUGCUGUAAAAAAGCUUGAGGAAGGUGGCUUGAGAUUCGUCUUAAGUGUUUAUAGCCUCUUGCCUAUGCAGUCGGAGAGAUUGAGGUCUGCAGCGUAGAUCCUUCGGGGCUAAAUGCAUUUGUGCUAAGUUAUAGCAUUUUAUAGACAACUUGUUGACUAUGAUUUGUCUUGUAGCUUACUCGCUUAUGUUAUUUUACCUACGCUUAGGAUGUUGAACGCGCACAGAGUCUC